rnacentral:rRNA from 1 species
GGAGCGGCAACCCCAACGGCAUAGCUUAACCAAUUUCCAUCUCUUUGUGAUGGAGUAUGCAGCACGUCUAUAGUCCCACAACAUUCAUAGCCAUGAUGACUUGUCUUCUUCCCUAUUAUCAUAUCUUAUAUAGUGGUGAACCGCUUCUAUAUAAGAAUAAAACGAGGGGUUACGUCUAUUUAAUGGAGCUAACCCAAGUCUCACGACAUUAACUUAAGACAGCCGCGCGACGCUUGUGAGUAUAGUCUAAACUAAUAUGAUAUUCAAGUUGUGGUAAGGUGUUUUGCAUACCAUCUGAUUAAACGACAUACUUCACUAGUGGAUUCAGAAACGGUCUAAUGAUAUCGAUUUCGGAGUUGCCACAUUACUCUUAAGGCGUAGUGUUUCCCCUUACUCUUAUAGGAUGCAAUGCUAACCCACCUCUAUGCACACUCAUACAAUCUACUGCUUUACACUACCAAGUCAAUCUAAUUCCGGUCUCGCACACUCAUAGGUAUUCUAACCUUGAACGACUACCUAUCACAUGAGGCCCUCGCCGUUGCCUUCAACAUCGCCAUUUUAAUUCUUACAAAAAAUAGGUAUAUUACCAUUUUAUCUCUACUCCAUUAACACUUUAAAGCCCCUUUACGAGCAACUCUAACACACUACCACCUUUAUAUAGCUUGAUCUGCCGUCUAUCUACGCUUUAAACCUGCUAGAGAUGAAUAGCACUACCCUUAUACGUCUUACCGCGACUGCUGGCACGCAUUUUAGUCGAGACACGUGAGUAGAUUAACUCAUUAUAUAAAUUUACUCAGCAACUUUAUUAGAUAUCAUCGAUAUUGUAUUAUAUUAUACAAGUAACUAUUGGCUAUACAUUCUUCCAAGCUGGCUGGGUUCAGCCCGUUUAACGCUAAUUGAACAAUUAUUCCCUCUCUGUUUUAAUACGAACAAAUCGUGUCUAGGACGA